CGGCGACCGCGUGUUUAUAUUACGCGCGGACGCGCCGGCGAUCGACGGGCGGCCGGUUUCGAGAGGGGGCUACGGGUUUUUACGACGGGGCGGCCGACCGUAAACGUUUCGAGGAGCUUUGCGUGGACGCCAGGACGACGCAGCGAUACGUUCCGACACAAUACAAUACAACGGGAAUGGUCGGCUCGCGCGAAAAGGAACUCGAAUCGAAUAUUGGCAGGGACGCAUGCAGCGAGCCGACCCAUUAAGGAGAACUGCACAACAAAUACCAUUUGCAGUGGAGUACGGCGACUCGGCGUCGCGUGCGUUAUCGGAUCCCGAAUAAUCGGCGGUUCGGUUUUUAACACUGACGAGUACCUACUGACUUACUCGCAAGUCCGGCGCGACCCGAUAAUUCAUCGCAUCGGCGUGUUGACAAUCGGUCCGCGGUAACUCUCACAUAGAUCCGUGCAGAUAACGAGAAUUGUUCGAUUCAACAUAAACUGUCGCAGGGAACUCGACUGGAGUCGACGGAAUCGAUUCGUGUUGAAAAUCCCGUCCCUAAAUAAUUGGUAUUCUUGUAAGGUGGCCGUUCGGUCCUACGCGAAUAGUCGGCAACUCUUUAACGGACUUUCUGAUCGGUGCCGCAUCGGGCCCGGCGAGAGACCGAGCGAAACUCGAUGGGCCGCGGUUAAGGCCGAGUCGACGGUCCAAUUAAGCUCCAAAACUUGAAAAUAUCUAGACCCACCUUGGGCAUCGCUUCAAAAUGUACCUAACCAACCCGGAUCGAUUACGAGGAGUCCAACGUUAACCGAACGAGAGUCUACAUGUCGAAUGGCCCGAUAAUUGCACAACAAAAAAAAAAUGCAGGUGUCUCGCGAAAACCUCGAAAAGUAUGAACUCUAUUCGAAUUUUUUGUUUGAAAAUUAAAAAUAACGAGCAGCUCUAAAAUGCUACGUCGUCCUAAUUUGCGUGUGUGUGUUUGGGGGCGGAGGGGGGGGAGGAGAAGGUCGAAACGACCGUGUACUUUCGAUUUUCAAACGUGCGACAAUCGUGUAGCGUCGCAUUUCGCGAACCGCUCCGUAUAGCCGCGAACGGCGACCGAGUGGCCGUUUGUUUGUCUGUUUAAAGCCGCACACGCGCGGGCGCG